rnacentral:rRNA from 1 species
AGUGUCGUAAGGGUGCGUAACACGUAUGCAAUCUGCCCUCAACAGGAGGAUAGCUCCCCGAAAGGGGAAUUAACACUCCAUAAGAUGAUGAACUGGCAUCAGGUUAUCAUUAAAACUGAGGUGGUUGAGGAUGAGCAUGCGCAUGAUUAGCUAGUUGGCGGGGUAACGGCCCACCAAGGCGAUGAUCAUUAGGGGAACUGAGAGGUUGAUCCCCCACACUGGCACUGAGAUACGGGCCAGACUCCUACGGGAGGCAGCAGUAGGGAAUAUUGGACAAUGGGUGCGAGCCUGAUCCAGCCAUGCCGCGUGCAGGAAGACGGCCUUCUGGGUUGUAAACUGCUUUUAUCUGGGGAUAAAAAGGGAGUGCGCUCCAAAUUGAAGGUACCAGAUGAAUAAGCCACGGCUAACUACGUGCCAGCAGCCGCGGUAAUACGUAGGAGGCAAGCGUUGUCCGGAUUUAUUGGGUUUAAAGGGUGCGUAGGCGGUCUGUUAAGUCAGUGGUGAAAUACUUCAGCUCAACUGGAGAGGUGCCACUGAUACUGGUGGACUUGAGUACUGAUGAGGUAGGCGGAAUGGACGGUGUAGCGGUGAAAUGCUUAGAUAUCGUCCAGAACACCGAUAGCGAAGGCAGCUUACUAAGGAGUAACUGACGCUGAUGCACGAAAGUGUGGGGAUCAAACAGGAUUAGAUACCCUGGUAGUCCACACUGUAAACGUUGAUCACUCGAUGUUG